AUGUCGAGUUCCACUUCAGCCUCCCACCCCUCGUGGACCCAGUAUGGUCCACUUCCCAUGGAGCGAUGUACUGACUGCCCAUGCAGCGCACCACUGAUACGAUUGACUUUGAAGGAGGUGAAGAAUGGCAAAUAUGGGAGCGAGUUCGUGAAAUGCGAGAGCAAGCCAGAGGGGCAGAUCGUGAAGAAAUGCACACAUUUUGAAUGGCUGGAUGACUACGUUAAGCGGAUUCAAUUCAAUGGGGCCCCAACCCGGGAGCUCAAUCUGCCGUCGGCGACAACGAAUUUGGUCUCUGAAAGUGCUGCUCUGAUAGUUGGGGAUGCAGAUCUGAAGGGGGAAUUAAAGAAGAUGAACAAGAACUUGAAGUAG
rnacentral:rRNA from 1 species